UGGGGAAUAUUGCACAAUGGGCGCAAGCCUGAUGCAGCCAUGCCGCGUGUAUGAAGAAGGCCUUCGGGUUGUAAAGUACUUUCAGUCGGGAGGAAGGUGUCAAGGUUAAUAACCUUGGCAAUUGACGUUACCGACAGAAGAAGCACCGGCUAACUCCGUGCCAGCAGCCGCGGUAAUACGGAGGGUGCAAGCGUUAAUCGGAAUUACUGGGCGUAAAGCGCACGCAGGCGGUCGAUUGAGUCAGAUGUGAAAUCCCCGGGCUUAACCCGGGAAUUGCAUCUGAUACUGGUCAGCUAGAGUCUUGUAGAGGGGGGUAGAAUUCCAUGUGUAGCGGUGAAAUGCGUAGAGAUGUGGAGGAAUACCGGUGGCGAAGGCGGCCCCCUGGACAAAGACUGACGCUCAGGUGCGAAAGCGUGGGGAGCAAACA
rnacentral:rRNA from 1 species